rnacentral:rRNA from 1 species
CUACGCACUCCUACGGGAGGCAGCAGUGGGGGAAUAUUGCACAAUGGGCGCAAGCCUGAUGCAGCCAUGCCGCGUGUAUGAAGAAGGCCUUCGGGUUGUAAAGUACUUUCAGCAGUGAGGAAGGUGGAUAUGUUAAUAGCAUAUUCAUUUGACGUUAGCUGCAGAAGAAGCACCGGCUAACUCCGUGCCAGCAGCCGCGGUAAUACGGAGGGUGCGAGCGUUAAUCGGAAUUACUGGGCGUAAAGCGCAUGCAGGUGGUUUGUUAAGUCAGAUGUGAAAGCCCGGGGCUCAACCUCGGAAUUGCAUUUGAAACUGGCAAACUAGAGUACUGUAGAGGGGGUAGAAUUUCAGGUGUAGCGGUGAAAUGCGUAGAGAUCUGAAGGAAUACCGGUGGCGAAGGCGGCCCCCCUGGACAGAUACUGACACUCAGAUGCGAAAGCGUGGGGAGCAAACAGGAUUAGAUACCCUGGUAG